GAGGAUACAGCUCAGUGGUAGAGCACAUGCUUCGCAUGUGUGAGGUCCCGGAUUCAAUCCCUGGCAUCUCCA
rnacentral:tRNA from 1 species